UUAGGUGUUGCUAAGUGUUAAAGUGUGUAUCUAACAUGUGCAAGGGCCUGGGUUCAAUACCCAACACCAGAA
rnacentral:tRNA from 1 species